GUGUCAGUGGCUGUUCCCAUGGCCACCCCCACACACCUCCCCACCCCCCGCCCUCCAGCUCCCCCCAUAGAUGUGCUCAGGACCAGUUCUCACACUGACUUUUAUUCCAGCAGCACCAAGCUUUGAAAGGUGGCACAGGAGCCUCUUGACUUCUGUGGAUGGGAGAAGGUAAAACUAGAGGUGCAAGUCUAUGUGAAACGAAGACCUGAAUAACACUAGCAAAAAAAAAAAAAAAAAAAGACAAGCAGUCCCAGACUUGGAGUUUCUAAGGAGAGAAGCUAAAGAGGAAACAAAUGACUCACUUGAAUUCCUUUAUGACAAGGACAUUUAAGAAGAGGCAAUAUAUCUACUGUUUGAUUAAAGACAUACAGCAAAACCUAUUAAAACAGCCGUGGUUUACCAAGAACAGAUGCAAGAUGUUUUUGUUUCCUGAAUACUCUGACAGCUGUCACUGUGACUGUAGAGGAGGACAACAUGAUAUGGAUGACAGAUGUAUGAGACAGUAAACAAGGAAUUUUGCAUGCCUAAUUUGAAACCAGAAUGACAUUUUAUAGACAAGUUUUAAGAGUCAACUUGAUAAAAUAGGAUUAAAA
rnacentral:lncRNA from 1 species